CCGAGGAGGAAAGAAUGGCAGUUCCACAUCAUGACUGUCAACUGAGCAUCUCAGCUAAGCCAUGUAACAGGUGAACUGGAAGUGUCUUUCCUGGUGGCUCCUUCUAAAAAUUGAAGGAUGAAUGUCAGAAGGACAGCUGAACUGUGAGCCCUGGGAUGAAGUCACCUACAGCCCUAAGACCUGAAAUGCACAUCUCAGCAGAAGCCUGACUGCAGCCGUUAUCCUUGCUGUGGAGAUGAACCAAAGGCCCAAGCGUGAGUGACUUCAAGAUGAAACUCAGGAGCUGAGGCUCAGUGUGGACAUUAAAUUUCCGAUGCCAGAUAAGAAAUCAAAUUCUAAUUCUUCACAAAAUUACUGUCUUCAAUUUCCGUUGGCAUAUCUAAGAAAUACUGGACUGUUACUAAUUGGCCCCUUAGCUCUGUGUC
rnacentral:lncRNA from 1 species